AUUGAACGCUGGCGGCAUGCUUUACACAUGCAAGUCGAACGGUAACAGGCCUUCGGGUGCUGACGAGUGGCGAACGGGUGCGUAAUGCAUCGGAACGUACCCAGAGGUGGGGGAUAACGCAGCGAAAGCUGUGCUAAUACCGCAUGUGAUCUGAGGAUGAAAGCGGGGGACCGAGCAGCAAUGUUUGGCCUCGCGCCUUUGGAGCGGCCGAUGUCGGAGUAGCUAGUUGGUGGGGUAAAGGCCUACCAAGGCGACGAUCCGUAGCUGGUCUGAGAGGACGACCAGCCACACUGGGACUGAGACACGGCCCAGACUCCUACGGGAGGCAGCAGUGGGGAAUUUUGGACAAUGGGCGCAAGCCUGAUCCAGCAAUGCCGCGUGCGGGAAGAAGGCCUUCGGGUUGUAAACCGCUUUUGGCAGGAACGAAACGGUGUCCGCUAAUACCGGGCGCUAAUGACGGUACCUGCAGAAUAAGCACCGGCUAACUACGUG
rnacentral:rRNA from 1 species